AAAAACGCCUUCCUUGAGCAACAAAAGCAGCAUGAUCAAGCUGAUGAUUGAUGGCUAAAUUAGAACUCGUUAAGUUGUCGUUGAAGGACUGAUUGGCGUUGAACUGCAUUGGCAGAGUGUAGGUUCCAAGUGAAGGGAGUACUGGAUUUAUUGGAUAGCAGUUAGGACGGGAGAUCAUCGUAUUCAUGGGACUUGGAUGAGUAUGUUUUCCUUCGUAGGUAGUCACCACAAUGCUUGGGUCACUGAAACAUCGCUCAACUCUCUUCUUGACGUUACAUGUUGCAUUUGUGCAGCGAUAAUAGUUCCUUGGGAAAGGACUGUUUUUGACAGCUUUUUGACCGU
rnacentral:misc_RNA from 1 species